rnacentral:rRNA from 1 species
UACAGAGGGUGCGAGCGUUAAUCGGAAUUACUGGGCGUAAAGGGUGCGUAGGUGGCCUUUUAAGUCGUUUGUGAAGUACUCGGGCUAACCCGGGUGCUGCGAACGAUACUGGAAGGCUAGAGUAGAGUAGAGGUGAGUGGAAUUUCCGGUGUAGCGGUGAAAUGCGUAGAUAUCGGAAGGAACACCAGUGGCGAAGGCGGCUCACUGGACUCGAUACUGACACUGAGGCACGAAAGCGGUGGGAUAAACGGG